ACAGAUGGUAUUUGUCAUUGAGCCUGGCAAAGGCAGACGCGACACCACUGGAAACGCAAGAGAGUUGUGCCCUGGGCAUGAAGUUAUACGUGAUCCACUGCGUGUGCUGUGGGCCAGCGCCAGCGCUACCUGCAUGAGAGUGGGGAGGCCGCACUAAAGGAAACAUCUAAUGGAUCAGAGUGCCUUUCUCUGCACUUCUUUUGAGAGAAGAAGAAAGAAGAAGAAGAAGAAGAAGAAGCAAGGGAUGUUUUCUCACACUCAAAGUCCUCCAGGAUUCUGUGCUCUUCUUCUUCUUCAUUCACAGGCUCCCUUUAAGUGCGAUGCCAUCAGAGUUCAAGAAAAACACCCGGAGGCUGUUCGACCCAACCAAAGCCGAGUGAGAGCCUUUGAAUGACUUCACUUGAGGCCAAAAAUAAAUCAAACAGGCAAUGUGACAUUCCAUGAGGCCAUGUGAUGCCCAUCACUCACCUCACCGCACCAAUUCUGUUUGCUAUGGCCUGUUUGGUAACCCAUGAACACAUGGACAUGCACGCACACACACACACACACGCACGCCCACGCGCCCCCCUCCACACACACACACACACACACACACACUGUGCUGGCUAUUGCCUACAGGCAAGAGAGAUUGACUCACGUUGGCUCAAGAAGCAGAGCUCUCGCUCAAAUCUACUUUGCCGCAUGUUUUCGAAUCUGCUCUAAUCGAUUAUGCUCUCUGCUCUCACCAGAACCUUAAAGACGAGCAGAGAAUGUCAACAACGACACCUCCUAUAAAAGGCAUAUUUACUUAAUCCCUAAAGCCAUGGUAGUUAGUGUCAUGUGACUGAGCCUCGGCGGUUAUGUCACAGUACGGUUCUCACGUCUUACCAUCGUCCUGCACCAGGCCUUCUUCGCUCAGCGUCGUCUGCAGCGCCACCUGCUGGGCGCCCCCCACCACCUGCGUCUGGCCCAGCUCCAGCAUGGCCUGCUGCUCCGAGCCCACUCCAGAAGGUGGAGGCUGGAGCGUGCCGC
ensembl:lncRNA